GGCGCACGGGUGAGUAACGCGUACGCAAUCUACCCUUAGCUGGGGAAUAGCCCCGGGAAACUGGGAUUAAUACCCCAUAGCACUACCAGUAUGCAUAUACAGGUAGUUAAAGCUCUGGCGGCUAAGGAUGAGCGUGCGUCCUAUUAGGUUGUUGGUGAGGUAACGGCUCACCAAGCCUGCGAUAGGUAGGGGGCGUGAGAGCGUGAUCCCCCACACGGGUACUGAGACACGGACCCG
rnacentral:rRNA from 1 species